rnacentral:lncRNA from 1 species
UUCAUGUUUCAGGGAAUAUAAUUUGUCAAAAGAUAUUGUAUAUGAACUUCAACUCUACAACUCAGUAAAAUGAACUGUGAUCAGGAGAAUAAGGAAAUGUUCAGUGUAUUACUUGGUGGUUGUAAUCAAUGGAAACACUAAAAACAUAAAAUAUGCAUGCACUAUGCUUCCUUAAAGUAAAAUUUUCCUUUACCAGGAGGAGAAAAGCAAAGAGUAGCAAUUGCAAGAGCCAUUUUGAAGGACCCCCCAGUCAUACUCUAUGAUGAAGCUACUUCAUCGUUAGAUUCGAUUACUGAAGAGACUAUUCUUGGUGCCAUGAAGGAUGUGGUCAAACACAGAACUUCUAUUUUCAUUGCACACAGAUUGUCAACAGUGGUUGAUGCAGAUGAAAUCAUUGUCUUGGAUCAGGGUAAGGUAGCCGAACGUGGUACCCACCAUGGUUUGCUUGCUAACCCUCAUAGUAUCUAUUCAGAAAUGUGGCAUACACAGAGCAGCCGUGUGCAGAACCAUGAUAACCCCAAAUGGGAAGC